GGAGGUAUAGCUCAGGGGUAGAGUGUGUGUCUAUCAUGCACAAAGUCCUAGGUUCAAUCCCCAGUAUCUCUA